rnacentral:rRNA from 1 species
UACGUAGGGGGGCAAGCGUUGUCCGGAAUCAUUGGGCGUAAAGCGCACGUAGGCGGUUCGUUAUGUCGGAUGUGAAAGCCCUUGGCUUAACCGAGGAAGUGCAUCCGAAAACUGGCGAGCUAGAGUACGAAAAGAGGAUCGCGGGAAAUUCCCCGGUGUAGAGGUGAAAAUUCGUAGAUAUUCGGAAGAACACCAGUGGCGAAGGCGACUUACCGGACACAUAUUUGACGCUGAGGGUGCGAAAAGCGUGGGGGGAGCAAAACAGGGAU